rnacentral:rRNA from 1 species
CCUACGGGGAGCAGCAGUGGGGAAUAUUGGACAAUGGGGGCAACCCUGAUCCAGCCAUGCCGCGUGUGUGAAGAAGGCCCUCGGGUUGUAAAGCACUUUCAGUGAGGAAGAACGCCUGGUGGUUAAUACCCAUCAGGAAAGACAUCACUCACAGAAGAAGCACCGGCUAACUCCGUGCCAGCAGCCGCGGUAAUACGGAGGGUGCGAGCGUUAAUCGGAAUUACUGGGCGUAAAGCGCGCGUAGGUGGCUUGAUAAGCCGGUUGUGAAAGCCCCGGGCUCAACCUGGGAACGGCAUCCGGAACUGUCAAGCUAGAGUGCAGGAGAGGAAGGUAGAAUUCCCGGUGUAGCGGUGAAAUGCGUAGAGAUCGGGAGGAAUACCAGUGGCGAAGGCGGCCUUCUGGACUGACACUGACACUGAGGUGCGAAAGCGUGGGUAGCAAACAGGAUUAGAUACCCGAGUAGUC